AAUGAACGUUGGCGGCGUGGAUUAGGCAUGCAAGUCGUGCGGAAAGGCCCGCAAGGGCACUCGAGCGGCGAAAGGGAGAGUAAUACGUGGGUAACCUGCCCUGAGGCCCGGGAUAGCUACGGGAAACUGUAGGUAAUACCGGAUAAUGUCUCCGGACCAAAGGUGUGAUUCCGCCCUAGGAGGGGCCCACGUCCUAUUAGCUAGUUGGGGAGGUAACGGCUCACCAAGGCGAAGAUGGGUACGGGGUGUGAGAGCAUGCCCCCGCUCACUGGGACUGAGACACUGCCCAGACACCUACGGGUGGCAG
rnacentral:rRNA from 1 species